AUUGAACGCUGGCGGCAUGCCUUACACAUGCAAGUCGAACGGUAGAGGGGCAACCCUCGAGAGUGGCGAACGGGUGAGUAACGCAUCGGAACGUGCCCAGUCGUGGGGGAUAACACUUCGAAAGAAGUGCUAAUACCGCAUACGACCUGAGGGUGAAAGCGGGGGGAUCGCAAGACCUCGCGCGAUUGGAGCGGCCGAUGUCAGAUUAGGUAGUUGGUGGGGGUAAAGGCCUACCAAGCCGACGAUCUGUAGCUGGUCUGAGAGGACGACCAGCCACACUGGGACUGAGACAACGGCCCAGACUCCUACGGGAGGCAGCAGUGGGGAAUUUUGGACAAUGGGCGCAAGCCUGAUCCAGCCAAUGCCGCGUGCAGG
rnacentral:rRNA from 1 species